CUCACAAUGAGGCUCCCUGCUCAGCUCCUGGGGCUGCUAAUGCUCUGGGUCCCUGGAUCUAGUGGGGACAUUCUGUUGACCCAGACUCCACUGUCCCUCUCCAUCACCCCUGGAGAGCUGGCCUCCAUCUCCUGCAGGUCUAGUCGGAGCCUCCUGCAUAGUAAUGGAAACACCUAUUUACAUUGAUAGCUGCAGAAGCCAGGCCAGCUUUCACGGUGUCUAAUCUACAAGGUUUCCAACCAGUUUUCUGGGGUCCCAGACAGGUUCAGUGGCAGUGGGUCAGGCAUUGAUUUCACACUGAAAAUCAGCCCGGUGGAGGCUGAGGAUGUUGGGGUUUAUUACUGCAUGCAAGCUACACACUGGUCCCCCACAGUGCUACAUCCUGGAACAGAAACCUCUCUGCUGGGAUUGUCCAGCUGCCCACAUGUGCUGCUUGUCUGGCGAGCAGCUCAGCAGGGUCUCUGA